rnacentral:rRNA from 1 species
AUACGUAGGGGGCGAGCGUUAUCCGGAUUUAUUGGGUUUAAAGGGUGCGUAGGCGGUCGGGUAAGCGUAGGGUGAAAGUCCUCUGCUCAACAGAGGAAGUGCCUUCCGAACUGUCCGACUGGAAUGCUCCUGCCGUGGGCGGACUGUGUGGUGUAGCGGUGAAAUGCAUAGAGAUCACACAGAACACCGAUUGCGAAGGCAUCUCACGAAGGGGCUAUUGACGCUGAGGCACGAAAGCGUGGGGAUCAAACAGGAUUAGAUACCCUGGUAGUCCACGCAGUAAACGAUGAUGACUAACCGUCGGUCAAGACUGAUCGGUGGCCAAGCGAAAGCGAUAAGUCAUCCACCUGGGGAGUACGACCGCAAGGUUGAAACUCAAAGGAAUUGACGGGG